rnacentral:lncRNA from 1 species
AUGGAGGAGCAUGUCUAUGGAGCCUGGGACCAAAGAAUACCAAGCAGAAAGCAGACCCAGGCUGAAGGUUGGGACACCACUUCCCUGCAUGUGGCCAGCAGGACUCCAAGUGUGGCCGAAGAACAACCAAGCAAAGCAGUGCUUUUCAAACCCUGUCACCAGGCUCAGAGAACAAAGAUUGGAGCUGGCUCGGACUAUUUAAAAGACCCAGAGAGAGAGGAAGAUAGAAAAGGACAAAUUAUGGGAAAAGACCCAAUGGUGAAGAGAUACAGAGAAAUCCACAGAGAGAAGAGAAAGAGCAGCUCAGGUAAGGGAAGAAUGUAAAGCAUAAAAGCCCUAAACUAUGGGGUUUUAAUUUGUUGCUACUAAACAAUGAAACAUUUGCACAACUAGAGUAUAAAUGAAGAAAUUAUCCUUGGGGUCUUCAUGCCAAAAAUAGAUAGUCGAGAUAGAACCUGAGGGCCAGUGUCCUCCCACUCCUGACUUAAAGAAAGAAAUAUUAGAAAAGAGAACAACUGAGUGUGCAGUGUUUGGGGAUGACAAUCUUUCUAGAGAGGAGUACCACAUAGGAGUUUGAAAGGGAAAAGAGUUAAGUCACUAGAACAAGGGUGUUGCUUUCAGCUGGUUUCCAUACACCCUAUAAUCAGCCUUUCCUGUGAAUCUGAAGAUACACAAUCUAAAUGUGGCAGAAAACCCUUCAGUGAAAACACAACAGUGAUUCUGGCUGCGCCAGAGUCCUCCCAGACCCCACCAGUGAUGGGGUCAUCCUGGUUCCCUGAUAGAGUGACCCCUGGAGCUCUAGGCUCCACCAUUUUAUAGACAUCCGUGUGGCUACGGUAAGAUGAGAUACAGAAGAUGCUGGAGCCAAUUCACACUGACUUGUGAGAACCAUGAGUUUGUCUGUUUUCACGCUGCCAAUAAAGACAUACCUAAAACUGGUCAAUUUACGAAAGAAAAAGGUUAAAUUGGACUUAUAGUUCCACAUGGCUGGGGAAGCCUCACAAUCAUGGCAGAAGGCAAGAGGGAGCAAGUCCCAU